ACCCUUGUGGAGGAGGACGCCGAAGGUGGGGCUAAUGACUGGGGUGAAGUCGUAACAAGGUAGCCGUACCGGAAGGUGCGGCUGGAUCACCUCCUAACAGGGAGACAACAAAAUGUUUAUAUUAUUAUUUUGUCACCUUAGGUCGAUCGGUAUCUCACAUUCUUAAUUUAUUAAGGAUUUUAUUUCCUAAGUUUUUUCUAGGUCACACCCAUUACUUUUCCUGGGCCAUUAGCUCAGGUGGUUAGAGCGCACCCCUGAUAAGGGUGAGGUCCCUGGUUCAAGUCCAGGAUGGCCCAUAUCUCUAUGUUGGGGGUAUAGCUCAGUUGGUAGAGCGCCUGCUUUGCAAGCAGGAUGUCAGCGGUUCGAGUCCGCUUACCUCCACUGAUUACCACCUCUUCCAUAAUUUUUAUUAAGGAAAUGUUUUGAGUAGUGAUCAAAUUCUGAACGAAUCUAGCUUCCUAAUGCAUUCAUUAAGAUGCUGGACUCAUUGAAUUAAUUUCAUUGUUUUCAGAGAACCUUGACAACUGCAUAGACUAUUUUUAAAGACAAUAAGCAUCUUUAUGAUGCAGAUUUAUUAUUUGUGCGAAUGCAUUAAUAACAAUUCUAUUAAGCUGAUGCUUCAAUUAUGAAGUUAUUGGUCAAGCUACAAAGGGCUCACGGAGGAUACCUAGGCACACAGAGGCGAU
rnacentral:misc_RNA from 1 species